rnacentral:rRNA from 1 species
CCUACGUGGGGCAGCAGUGGGGAAUAUUGCACAAUGGGGGAAACCCUGAUGCAGCGACGCCGCGUGGGUGAAGAAGGUCUUCGGAUCGUAAAACCCUGUUGUUAGAGAAGAAAGUGCGUGAGAGUAACUGUUCACGUUUCGACGGUAUCUAACCAGAAAGCCACGGCUAACUACGUGCCAGCAGCCGCGGUAAUACGUAGGUGGCAAGCGUUAUCCGGAUUUAUGGGGCGUAAAGAGUUCGUAGGCGGCACGUAAAGUCUGGUGUUAAAGGCAGAGGCUCAACUUCUGUACGGCACUGGAUACUUGCGAGCUAGAAUGCGGUAGAGGUAAAGGGAAUUCCUGGUGUAGCGGUGAAAUGCUUAGAUAUCAGGAGGAACAUCGGUGGCGUAAGCGCUUUACUGGGCCGUAAUUGACGCUGAGGAACGAAAGCCAGGGUAGCAAAUGGGAUUAGAUACCCUUGUAGUC